GCAGGAUUAGUUCAUUGGUAGAACAAUCGCUUGUGGUGCGGUCGAAACAGGUUCGAUUCCCGUAUCUUGCC
rnacentral:tRNA from 1 species